AUGAGGUCAUAUCGCAGGGACUGUGGAACGGAACCUCGCUACUCUGCGGGUUACUGUGAGCUGACCUCCGGAGUGUUCAGACGGAGGGCGAGGUGUGCUUCAGCUGCGACGACAACCAAGGUGAAAAAAACACACGCCAGCGCACGUGGAAAUUGUUUCAUCGUGAAUGAAGGCUCGAGGGAUCUACUGAGUGAAGAACUGCUGUACUUUCUGCUGACUGAAGACUCGCACCGCCUCCAUUACUGCGCGCCACCACCAUAAAGGGGAGGUGAGCUCAUCCACUGUACGCCCACCUACACCUGCAACCAUGCACUGAUCGUACUGUAUCUGUAUCGCUGCAUCCUCGCUCUCACCGUGCUUUAUCGUCUAUUUUACUCUAAAUGAGACCACAAUUCACUAAAUGAACAUCAUGUUGUAUUGGAGAAGACUUGAAACUAGCGAUGUAGACCAUAAACUCCUCAGGAAAAUGUUCACUGACGUUAUAAAUCGAGUUAGAAGUAGAGUCAUUUUUUUAUUGACAUCUAGAAAAAUGACUUCUUUUUGCAACCAGUGGAGUCGCCCUCUGCUGGCCAUCCCAGAGAAUACAGGCGGCUUCAGGCGCUUCCUCGUUGGCUUCAUUUUCCGGACCCAGUGACCACGUCCACUUUCAUAUUCAGUCUAUAAAUAGAAUAUACAGGAAAUAUCUCUUCUCUCCUGUCUGAGGUGCAGAGGUCAUAGGUCGCUGGCCUUGAUUUAAUUUAUGAUGUGAACACAGAAGUGGAGAAUACCGUUGCGAUGUACUAUAAUACCUCCUCAAAAAUGUUUCUACAAAACACUUUUGGACGACUCCUAAGUUGGCCACGAUCUGACCAGUUUCCCUUUGGUAAUUUAGCAGUGGCACUGAUGUCUCUUUAGUGUUUUAAUGUUGAAGUGCAAUUCUCUUGGUAAGGUGAAUGUAACUCUCUGUGCUACUGGUCAAAAGUAAUAUAAGAAUGGCUGAGUGUACUGCUAAUUCACACAUGGUACUGCCUCACCCUAUUUAAUGAAGCCAAAAGUUGAACUCCCAAGUACACAACUUUUGAACAAUGUCGACUCUCUACCUGGAAAGGGCCUGUUGUGGUCCUGCAAUGCCACAGGUGAACUCGGCCCGACAUCAUAUUUCAAGUAGGUUGUUUGCUAGAGGAUUGACUAUGCUGUACUUUGUCACAAACUCCCCGGGUUGAACUUUCCAUACCACGGUUGAUUCUCCGGUGGAUGUUCUCCAGACUUUGAUCUCGCUGUGUUGACUCAUUGUGAGACUAUCCGUGAUGUGAACACUGAACACGCCCGCGGAGUUCUGAAUCACAGAUACACUCUUUCCUCAAAUCCUUUGUGUCCCAAGUGUCUUCCAGCCUAUGGACGAGCAGCAGGGACAUUUUGUGUUCCUCCAGCCCCCGAAAAAGUCCCCCUCUGUAUGUUUUAUUUGUUAUCUGGAUUGUGUCUCUGGCAAUGCUACUCUGAGGAAUCACUACUGUUUACUGGAAUGGAAGAAGUGACUGCUGUGCUCGAGGCAAAUGACUGCAUGGCUGGCCUUUCAAAACACCAACAGGCCAUGUUUGGAGGGAAACAAUUCUUGAAAGGGUUGUCAGGAAUAUUGAUUUGUCAUAUAUUGCUCAACAUGAAUGAAUAAAAUAAAAAGUAAAGGCUCUUCGCACCUUUGAUGAUGUACUCAUGUGAGAACUUAUUGUUUCUGUAGGUCCUGACUCACCGAGCGGAGGUUUCGUUGCUCAUGGCCACACGUCGAAGGAAAUCUGUGUCGCCUCUCCUGUCUGAUUUGAUUAAUGCAAUUUGACCUCAUCAUCACCACGGUGUAACCAAGAGUUCACGCUACCUGUAUUUCUAAACUCUACACUGAUUGGAGAGAACUGCCGGUCCGAUCAUUUUCUUUUCACGCCUGCGUCCCCCGGCCCCUUGGUUGGUAAACACGUCUGUCUCAAAAUCAAUGAGGAAACAGUGAAAGAGGCUUCAAGCAGAAGUCGAAACAUUGUGAGCGUCCCAAAUCCCCAACUGACUGAACAGUGAUUGGGCAUUUUAAAUCGAGGCAAAGAGCAUUAUAAGUCCUCUUUGUGCUUUCUAUGAUGAGGAGUGAGGAAGAUUUCUGAGCUUGAUGGGUGAUGAAAUGGAAUAAUUUAUAGAAAAGCAUCUUGGUUGUGAGUUAGAGUGAGUGUGCCUGUCUUCUUGUCUCAGAGAUGCAGACUCCCCUCGGGUCGAUCAGUAAGAGACCGCAUUAACCCUCCUUGUAGAGGCUUUUCAGGUUUAUUUGUUGACAACGCAGAGUGAACUGCCAGUCACUUUUUCCUCUCUGCAAUAGAGAAGCUUCGCUGUGAAUGUCUUAGCAACCUUCCACUCGCUGAACCUGUGAUCACUGUGAAUCACCCAAAAAUAAUCUCAGCCAGGAGUUGAGAGAAAGUUCUAUUCAAGUCAAAUUGUAGUUUACCUUAUGAUAAUACUGUAAAUGCAAUAUGAAUAUUACAAGCACCUAAAGCAUAUGGUGUAGGGGAAUGCUGUCAAAUGUUUCUAUCAUAUUGAUCCAUUGUACCUGCCGACGUGAAGGGGCAGUGCGCGAUUCAGGAGAAAGGUCGUCUCUCUCUCUUUGUUGUUGUUGGAUUUUACUGUGUCGAUGAGAGAUGUGUGAGGUGCGGUCUGCACCAUUUUUUUUCCAUUCACAGAGCCUGAGCUGAGCUGGACUUUUUUGGGCGUACACACAGGACGGACACCUAGUGGACCGUGAGGAAAUAUUCACAUAUUUACAAAACGUUGCUUUAAAAUCGCUUACUGGCCCUUUAAGGUUGGUAGACGUGACCCAAAAUCCUUUGCCAUACAUGGCACAAGUUGAAAAAAAAUCUCCAAAACUGAGGUGUAGAUA
ensembl:lncRNA